UACGGGGGAUGCAAGCGUUAUCCGGAAUUAUUGGGCGUAAAGCGUCCGCAGGUGGUUAUCCAAGUCUGCUGUCAAAGCGCGAGGCUUAACUUCGUAUCGGCAGUGGAAACUGGGUGACUAGAGUAUGGUAGGGGUAGCGGGAAUUCCCAGUGUAGCGGUGAAAUGCGUAGAUAUUGGGAAGAACACCGGCGGCGAAAGCGCGCUACUGGGCCAUUACUGACACUCAUGGACGAAAGCCAGGGGAGCGAAAGGG
rnacentral:rRNA from 1 species